rnacentral:rRNA from 1 species
CCCUUAGAUGUCCGGGGCUGCACGCGCGCUACACUGAAGGAAUCAGCGUGCUAAAACCAUUGUCGAAAGGCAUUGGUAAACCCAUUAAAAUCCUACGUGAUUGGGAUCGGGAAUUGCAAUUAUUUCCCCUGAACGAGGAAUUCCCAGUAAGUGUGGGUCAUAAGCUCGCGUUGAUUACGUCCCUGCCCUUUGUACACACCGCCCGUCGCUGCCCGGGACUGAGCCGUUUCGAGAAAAGCGGGGACUGCUGCUGUCGGGGCUUUCGGGCCUUGGCUUCGGUGGAAACCGCUUUAAUCGCAGUGGCUUGAACCGGGCAAAAGUCGUAACA